GGGAAAGUGGCGAAAUGGUAGACGCAAUGGAUUCAAAAUCCAUCGAUUGUAAAAUCGUGAGGGUUCAAUUCCCUUCUUUCUCA
rnacentral:tRNA from 1 species